UCUGUCUCUGCCCCUCUCCCUACUCAAAGUGAAUAAAUAUUAAAAAAUUAAUUGUAGGGUUAAGAGCAAUAGUGUAGGCUUCAUGAGAGCCUAUAUAAUUAUACAGAUGUCAUGUCUUUGUUUCCCUUAAAAUUCUGUCAUUCUUUGGAACAUAAUUUAUAUUCUUGGCCCAGAGUAUUUGAUGAAAUGAAUUUUGGGGACUCCGUAUCCAGAGAUACAGGAGUGCACUCAAGAAAUUAGGUGGGUUUUUUAUUAAAAAAAAUAUCUUCUAGGUAUUUCUUUGCUUCUUUCCACUGACCUAGGAAGCAGGUUCAUUACCAAACAUGCUGUUUCCAAGGUUACGUAAAGUAAUGGCCCUGGGGGACUGACCUGUGCCACCGCUUUUGUGGAUUUGUAGAACUCACUCACCUUUGGCAUUUCCCUCAGCAAGUCCCGGGACAAGACCAGGAAUCUUCAGAAAUGAGAGCCGUGAGCAAACACGUUUUAAGAGUUGAGUGAAAUUGUCUUCCCAAUUUGUUUAUACCUCAGCUAAACCGAGACCUACACCACGCAGUAGGAAAUUACUUAAAAUGCUGAUCCUGAAGACUGAAGGGUAGAGUGAAGUGACAGUUUUGCUUCUUGGGGGACGUUUUAGGUGAACUGUUCUACAUCCCAAGAGAAGAUGUCAUUGCUGUAGGCUGAUUUGUAAUGAGGAACAUUUGAUUUUUUGCACACACACAGGGCAUGUAGCUUCCAUUCAGAUGCCCCAACUACAGAGGGGAAGGGUGACCAGAUAACUUAUCCACAGGCCUCAGACCAAAAAAUAAAAAAAUUUGGCAGCCAGACCUAGUUGCUUACUAGGGGACCCAGUAUCUCAUGUGUCAUGCUGACGUGUGCCCAUUGCUCUCAGGAAUCUGUUCUGGGUUAUCGGUGUCAGUGUGAGACCCGAGGGAACUUGCUAAUGACCCAUUUUCUUCACCAGUCGAGGCAUAUUCCUACUGCCACCUUUUAUUUUUAUUCUACAGCGAGGCAGGAUUCAUGCCAAAAGCUUUGGUGAACCAAGUACUUUAAAUUCAGCCUUUGAAACUGUCCCAGUUCCCUUGAGCAGAGAGAACCCCGACCACAGCCAAACUGACCCUCUCCAAGCCGCCCUGUUUGCCUGUGACUCUGCUCCUGCGAGGUCCCAUUCAGCAUUUCCUGUGGGACCGCGUUUCCACUUUUACUAUUUCGGCUAGAACCAGUGGAAUGAAGCUUGUUUUUACAUAAACCCGAUUUGAUGCCCCUGCACAUAAACAACGUGAUUGACUUGUGAACAUCUUCCAAGGUAGUGACGUAAUUUUCCAGUUGAUUUCGCAAUACUGUAGGAUAUAACCAAGUAUAAUUACGCUGCACAAGGAUGAAUGGGCCUCACGGACUGCUAGAAAUAACUCCCUUCCCUCUUCCGUUUAUAGAUGCGGAAGAGUAAUAUUCAGAGAAAAGCACCUCAACAAAUUUUACUAGACCUAAAACAUUUCUGCCUCGCGUCCGAGGACAAAACCAGAUGGGAUAUAAAAGAAAACGCCAGUGAAGGCUUUGAGGGUAAAGAGUUGCUGUCGUCUGGCCCCAUAAGUCAGCAAAUAUUCGCCGGGUGCCUGGGGUUCUGCACUGUCGUGGGCAUGUGGUGUGCAUGUUAGAGAACACGGGCCAGCAUUGCGCCCUUAGCCAAGCAUCCCGUGUGAAUGAUGGCGCACGUACUACAUCCGAUGCCCCCACCAUGUUGUCUUCAGCCAAGUCCUCUCUGACGUGAGAGCAGGGCAGGUUCUGCCACGCCCUCCUUUUGCAACUUGGAUGUUGCUCUUCCCACCGAGUAUAGUUGCAAGGAAACAGUCCUCUUAUUUAUGUAUAAACAGGUACCAGUUUUGAUUUUAUUUCAUAUUAACAUACAUGAACAUCAAAAUGAGAAAUGCACAAUUUAACCAUUCGGCGGCAUCUUACUCCAGAAGAACACUAUAUUCAUAUUAAACAUUUAUACAGUCUUUCCACCUAACUUGACAAAUGUUCUAAGCCACUGUCCAGCAUUUCUCACACAGAAGUCUAGUUUUGCUCUUUAGAAAUCACCAUUCAGUAUCACCCCGGUAGCCUCCAGGGCUUCCCCAAGAUCACGGACUCGAGAGAGCCAGCCACCCCCGCCCCCAAGCAGCUCCAGGGCUUGCCCCUGAGGCAUGGCAGUCUGGAUCCCAAGAACUGAUUAUUUGACAUUCGCAAUCAAGGACUAAAGGUUUUAGUGUCUGACUACAUCAUCAGUCAUAGGAAGGAAGGGGACCGUGGCCAAGAGAAAUCCCAAAUGACGGAAGGCAAAUUUCUGCCCAGAGAGGUGUUAAAACCAAGUCCCCCCACCCCCA